CCUGAACGCUGGCGGCGUGGCUAAGACAUGCAAGUCGCACGGAUGUAGCAAUACAUCAGUGGCGAACGGGUGAGUAAUGAAUCGCUAAUGUACCCCGGACUCUGGGAUAGCUAGCCGAAAGGUUAGGUAAUACCAGAUGAUAUACCUUUAUCGCAUGAUAGAGGUCUCAAAGGUCCGCCGGUCUGGGAGCAGGCGAUUUCGUAUCAGCUAGNGGUGAGGUAACGGCUCACCAAGGCGACGACGCGUAGCCGGACUGAGAGGUUGGCCGGCCACAUUGGGACUGAGACACUGCCCAGACUCCUACGGGGGGCUGCAGUAACGAAUCUUCCGCAAUGCACGAAAGUGUGACGGAGCGACGCCGCGUGUGGGACGAAGCCC
rnacentral:rRNA from 1 species